rnacentral:rRNA from 1 species
ACGAGAACACUCUAGCUUGCUAGGGUAAGUAAAGUGGCGCACGGGUGAGUAACGCGUGGGUAAUCUACCUUCGAAUUGGGGAUAACGUUGCGAAAGCGACGCUAAUACCGAAUAACAUCCAUUAAUCUUCGGGUUUUUGGAUCAAGGGUGGCCUCUACAUGUAAGCUACUGUUUGAAGAUGAGCCCGCGUACCAUUAGCUUGUUGGUGGGGUAAAGGCCUACCAAGGCUUCGAUGGUUAGCUGGUCUGAGAGGAUGAUCAGCCACACUGGAACUGACACACGGUCCAGACUCCUACGGGAGGCAGCAGUGAGGAAUUUUGCGCAAUGGGGGAAACCCUGACGCAGCAACGCCGCGUGAGUGACGAAGGCUUUCGGGUCGUAAAGCUCUGUCAAGUGGGAAGAACCUGCAGUAUGCUAAUAUCAUAUUGCACUGACGGUACCACUGAAGGAAGCACCGGCUAACUCCGUGCCAGCAGCCGCGGUAAUACGGGGGGUGCAAGCGUUAUUCGGAAUCAUUGGGCGUAAAGAGCACGUAGGCGGCUUGGUAAGUCAGAUGUGAAAGCCCGGGGCUUAACCCCGGAAGUGCAUUUGAUACUGUCAGGCUUGAGUAUGGGAGAGGGAAGUGGAAUUCCUGGUGUAGAGGUGAAAUUCGUAGAUAUCAGGAGGAACACCGGUGGCGAAGGCGACUUCCUGGACCAAUACUGACGCUGAGGUGCGAAGGCGUGGGUAGCAAACAGGAUUAGAUACCCUGGUAGUCCACGCAGUAAACGUUGUUCACUAGGUGUAGCGGGUAUUGACCCCUGCUGUGCCGCAGUUAACGCAUUAAGUGAACCGCCUGGGGAGUACGGCCGCAAGGUUAAAACUCAAAGGAAUUGACGGGGGCCCGCACAAGCGGUGGAGCAUGUGGUUUAAUUCGACGCAACGCGAAGAACCUUACCUGGAUUUGACAUCCCGGGAAUCCUAUCGAAAGACUGGAGUGCCCUUCGGGGAGCCCGGAGACAGGUGCUGCAUGGCUGUCGUCAGCUC